CAGAACGCAAAACUAAAAUUUAAAAAAAAAUGUAUAGGAUAUCGUAUACCUAAACAAAGCAGAAGAAGUAUAUAAAUCAGUUUUAUUUUAGAACACGCAUGUCAAGCCAAUACAACUUCAAAUUAUCAAAUGAUAACUAGCUAUACUUGAUACCUUAACAACAUACCAUAAGUAUUUUAAAACUACUAAAAGACAUACAAAAUAAAAGUAAUUUCAUUAUCUACUUUUAAAUUUGUCUCUUUUUAGAAAAUAACGUGUUAUUGACUCAAAUUAUAAGUUCAUUAUCUGAAGAUGUUUUUACAAUAUGAGUUAAUAUUUAAGUAUAUGCCAUAAAUAGUACAUAAUACACGUAGUUUUAAAUUUUUAAUAAACAUAUGUAUUACACAUUUUACUUAAAUUUAUUAUUUAAUUAAUUUACUGUAUAUAUUUAAUUUAAGUUCAGCAUACAACUAUUUGCAAACAGCAGGAUCAUUUAAUUUUUUUUUUAAUCUUUACAUUUUUAUGCAUACCACAAAUCCUAUUUAAUAUUUAUCUAUUUUUAGGCCAACUAAUUUAAGAAGUGGGCCAAAUCACAAUAUAAUUGGAUUUUAAAUACGCAAAUGUUUACCUUGCGUGGUUCAAAUGACUCCACUGUUCAUAAAUAAUAUGGAUGUCAUUCAAACUGUUAUAAUAAUUACUAUCAUAAAACGUAGACAAUCAAGUUUCCAAGUUUUUAAGGUCAAUCAACAAUCUGUUAUUACAGUGUUGUACGUACCUUUUACUACUGUGGCAUUGUUCUGCAAAUUAAUAAGCCAAUGUUGAUAAGGAUAAUUUGGACGCACUCCACCGUAUA